AUGGGCUGGCAAGAAGAGUAA
rnacentral:miRNA from 1 species